CUGAGCAGCUCCUAGGCCGUCCCAGAAGUACUGUGGCAGCAAUUCUAUGUUGACACUAGGUGGCGCUCAUGUGCUACUGCAAGAGGCUCUAAUGCGCAAAAGUGUUUGGCAAACGAAAUUGCCUUCCUUGUGUGUAAGCUCAGAGACUGGUCCCGUGAGCGGCAUGUGCCUCUUGGGAUAUAGAUUAUUUCAGCCCCCUUCUCUUUCUUUAACUAUUUUUUUUAAAGUGCUGUUUUUGUUUGUUGUUUGUUUUUUUUUUUUUUUUUUUUUUUUUUUUUUUUUGACUUUGGCCUCCUGGCUAAGCAAAAGCUCUAGGGUUAGGUCAAGUGCAAAUACUAUUUCUUCAUUGGCUGCUCCAUGGCUUUGGGGUUUACAGGCAUCACAGAUGACCAACCAUAGGAAGAUGAGUAGCCUUCAAAUCAAAGAAGUCAAAUCCAUUCAGUGGAAUAGAAGCUGGCGCGCAGACAGAAGGCAGACGCAGUGCACACUUGGAGGCAGCGUCACACCUGAUACCAAUGGCUUAUACCUCAAACUUGACAGGACUCAGAGUCACCUGGGAGAUGGCCCUCUUUGAGUGUGUCUUUGAGGGAGUUUCUAGGUGGGGUUAAUUGAAAUGGUAAGACCCACCUUAACUGUGGGUGGCACUAUCCCUUGCUCCGGGGUCCCAAACAGAAUACAAAUGAGGGAGCAAGCCCAGGGCCAGCACCCAUUUCUGUUUCCUGACAGUGGGUUCAAGAAGCCAGUGAGGCGACCGGGAUCCUCUCGAGUGAAGAGUGUUGCCACGUGUGUAAGACUGAGCCUUGGAGCAACCCCCACAUCAACUUCGACUCUGCUUUGAGAGCCUGAAACUCCUUGACGUGCCCUUGGGGGAUGUAACUUGAGCGGAUUAUAUUUGAGCUUGGUUUUGGAGAAGUUAGGUUACAUAUUGACUCCCAAGAACAUGAGCAUCACUUCUCCAGUUUCACUCUGGCUCUGAGAAAUUGAGAGCAGCUGAGGCUAUUUUUAGAGAUUACGGUUCAUCGGAGACAGCCAUCUACCGACCAGGGCCAGACACAACAGGACACUGUUGUUUGCUGUCACACUUCUCCCAGGCAGAGUCCAACAAAAUAAGCAGGUAGUAGCAGCCGGCCUCUUAAGAAUGGAAAACAGCAGAGAAUGAUUUUACUGGGAAAGAUCGGGAAGAAAGCUCUGGAGACCAGGAUUCAGUGAAUGCAUCAUGGGGAGCAGCCAUCAGCUCUGAUGCAGUGGCCUCAGUGACAGGACACCAAGGAUGACCUCUGAUGCGUUUCCAUCCUAGAGCUGCUAUCAGCGGACAAAAUGCUCUAGGCUUCUGCCAUGGUCAGAAUUGCUUUCUCUGACUGGGGCAGAGUUAGUCAUUUCUCAUUGCUGUACCAAAUGAAUAAAGAAACACAUAUUUUGGCUCACGGUUUUGGAGGUUUGACCCAGGGCCAGCUGACUCCAAUGCUGUGGGCCUGGGGCGGAGCUGAGCAGUAGAGGCCAGAACAUAGAGUGAAGAAAAACAGCCCAGCUCAUGGUGGACAGGAGAGAGAGAGCAGGGUGGCGUGAGGGAAGCUCCCAGGAGGCAUCACAGCUCCCAAUCCUGGAGGGGGUCUCCCCGAGCAGCCUUACCACGCCCACCACAAACAGGCGGCUGCACUUCCCACAGCACCUCAAGGAGACAGAGACUAUUGAUUUGUAGAGAGAAGAGCAAAGCCGUUUAUUGAAUGUGAACCACGUGCCUGGUUAAAUACUUCCUUCCUGCAGUCACUUCAGACCUUCAACAACCGACCGUCUCAUGUAAGAGGAGGGGUGGCUGGCUUUCCCGGCGCAGUGAAGAAGCUUGGAAGGAGACAGGGGCUGGAGAGAUGGCUCAGUGGUUGAGAGCAAUGACUGCUCUUCCAGAGGUUCUGGGUUCAAAUCCCAGCACCCACGUGACAGUUUAAAACUGUCUGUAACUCUGGUUUCAGGAUCUGAAGUCUUCACACCAAUGUACAUAAAACAAAGGUAGAAUCCCAGCACCCCACUUCCUUCCUGCAACCAGUAAAGAGCCCUAGCCUCAUACCAGGCUUCAGACCCAGAAGGACCAUACACGAAGCAGACGCAAUGUUCCUCCCCCGACUGACUGUAUUUUCCUGGGACCCUGUCUGAGUUGGGCAUUGGCUCUAUCAUCCUCAGACUGAUAAAACCCUGACAAGCUGAAAUCACCUGUCUACAGUUGGUAGACUGUUGGGUUUAAUGCACCUGCUAACCCAAUGGUGCUAUGAUACUUCCCACUUCUUUGCAGAAAAUAAAAAAAAAAAAAAUGUAGAAACGGUCAAUCAUGGAAGCCAUGGCAGGAAGAGUACAUGUUCAAGUUCAGCCUGCACUGCAUAACAAGCUAUGGACCAACUCAUGUCACAGAAUCAAAAUAAAACUGAGAUGUAAUCCAGUGGAAGAAUGCUUGCUUAUCUUGAAAAGCAAGGCCCAGGGACUGAUCUCCGCCGUCACCACAAGUGGCCAAUCAUUUGUUCUGCUGUACCUGGGGCACCGGCGGUGUUCACAGCUGGGCAGACUUACAGUGGGAAAACCACACUCCCCUUCUCCGUGAAGUGUAGAAAAUCACAAAGAUUGGACAAUGCAGGCUUGUUCAGCCAGGGGGACGAGGUUCAGUGUCCAAGGUGUGCGACCUCUCCAGGCGUGUCUGACAAAUGAUUGCAAGGGUUUAGGGAAGUUUUGAGCUGUUGUUACACACACACACACACACACACACACACACACACACACACACACACACACACAGGAGGGUGGGUCAGCUCUGUAAUUAACUGGCAAUGUUAUACAUGUUUAAAAGCCCAAACCUUGGUUGUGAUUCAUCUUCUCAUAAACAGAGCACAGAGAAGCCUUGUUGGAUUGCAAUGUGAACUUACUACAUCUUGAACCAUUUAAGCAUUUACCAAUCAAUUAGAAGGACACAUUUAAAAAGUUGAUCAAACUCACAAAUAAACUUUCUUUAUAUGGUG
ensembl:lncRNA